rnacentral:tRNA from 1 species
GCGGGUAUAGCUCAGUGGUAGAGCACAACCUUGCCAAGGUUGGGGUCGAGGGUUCGAGUCCCUUUGCCCGCUCCA